rnacentral:rRNA from 1 species
CCUACGGGUGGCAGCAGUGAGGAAUAUUGCACAAUGGGGGAAACCCUGAUGCAGCGACGCCGCGUGCGUGAAGAAGUAUUUCGGUAUGUAAAGCUCUAUCAGCAGGGAAGAAAAUGACGGUACCUGAUUAAGAAGCCCCGGCUAACUCCGUGCCAGCAGCCGCGGUAAUACGUAGGGGGCAAGCGUUAUCCGGAUUUACUGGGUGUAAAGGGAGCGUAGGCGGCAGAACAAGUCUGGAGUGAAAUGCCGGGGCUUAACCCGGGAACUGCUUUUGAAACUUGGCAGCUAGAGUGCAGGAGCGGUAAGCGGAAUGUAUAGUGUAGCGGUGAAAUGCGUAGAGAUUAGGAGGAACACCAGUGGCGAAGGCAGCUUACCGGACUGUAACUGACGUUGAGGCUCGAAAGCGUGGGGAGCAAACAGGAUUAGAUACCCGUGUAGUC